rnacentral:rRNA from 1 species
CUACGGGGGGCUCCAGUAAGGAAUAUUGCGCAAUGGAGGCAACUCUGACGCAGCCAUGCCGCGUGCAGGAAGAAGGCCUUAUGGGUCGUAAACUGCUUUUAUUUAGGAAUAAACCCCCGAACGCGUUCGGGGCUGAAGGUACUAAACGAAUAAGCACCGGCUAACUCCGUGCCAGCAGCCGCGGUAAUACGGAGGGUGCAAGCGUUAUCCGGAUUUAUUGGGUUUAAAGGGUGCGCAGGCGGGCUAUUAAGUCAGUGGUGAAAUCCCGGGGCUCAACUCCGGAACUGCCAUUGAUACUGAUAGUCUUGAGUUUGGUUGAAGUGGGCGGAAUGUAGCAUGUAGCGGUGAAAUGCAUAGAUAUGCUACAGAACACCAAUCGCGAAGGCAGCUCACUAAGCCAAAACUGACGCUCAUGCACGAAAGCGUGGGGAUCAAACAGGAUUAGAUACCCCGGUAGUC